AUCAGCCAAGGGUGUCUGCAUCGGACAACACUCAACUCGGGAUUGGCACCCAGCCAGUGCCCUACACUAUACAAGAUGCCACUGUAGGGACAGGGAUGACCUCUAGCAAGCCCGGGUCUGCACUCUACUGGGAUUUGCUGGGCUAGAUUCUCAGAGGAGCUCAACAUUGAUUGAGUUCCUCGCUCCACGUUAAAUCUUUGGAAAAUUAACUAAAGAUCUCCUAGUAAGAUGCUUGUAACUUACUACAUAAGGUGAAAUAGUGACUUUACAGUACAAAAACUAUAACCCAAGUAUUACCACCAGCAGCGGGCUAAAUCAACACCACAGGCCCCGUGAUCAAUAUAUGUGAUGAGGACAUUACAUCCUGGUGUUGUUGCCCCAAGUCUUGACGUGAAUCUGACCACAAGGACAAUUCGGACAACCUGAAAUGGUGACGCAUUCUACAAAAUAAACAUCAAUGUCAUGAAAGACAAAGACUCAAGAUUUUCUGCUUAAUGGAGACUAAAGAGAUGCGACAACAGAAUGCCAGGCAUGAUCUUGGAUAUUCUUUUGGCUCAAACAGUCUUAGGACAAUUGAAAAAACGUGAAUGAGGUCUGUAGCUAAUAGAAUUGUGUCAAUGCCACAUCCUUGGUUUUGUUAAUUGCAUUGUGGUUACAGAAGAGAAUCCCUUUGUUUUCAGGAAAUGCACACAGCAGUAUUUAAUAGUAAAGGCACAUCUUGUCUGCAA
ensembl:lncRNA LINC02189 long intergenic non-protein coding RNA 2189